GUCUACGGCCACACCACCCUGAGAACUCCUGAUCUCGGCAGCCAAGCCGGGUGGGGCCUGCUUAGUACUCGGAUGGGAGAGUUCUGGUUCCCAGCAACA
rnacentral:rRNA from 1 species